GCACAGGUUCCCCCUGCCCAUGGGGGGAUUCAAUGUGAAGUCGGGUGCAAUUCCCGCGCAAUCCCGUUGCUGUGUAGGUGGAGCGCGCCCCUUGGGGGCCACUGGUUUUCAAAACUGGGAAGGCUGGGGCGUGCUGUGAAACCAAGCCAGAAAACAGCCUU
rnacentral:ncRNA from 2 species